rnacentral:rRNA from 1 species
UACGUAGGGGGCAAGCGUUGUCCGGAUUUAUUGGGCGUAAAGAGCGUGUAGGCGGCCGUACAGGUCAGCUGUGAAAACUCGAGGCUCAACCUCGAGACGUCGGUUGAAACCGUACGGCUAGAGUCCGGAAGAGGAGAGUGGAAUUCCCGGUGUAGCGGUGAAAUGCGCAGAUAUCGGGAAGAACACCCGUGGCGAAGGCGGCUCUCUGGGACGGUACUGACGCUGAGACGCGAAAGCGCGGGGAGCGAACGGG